rnacentral:rRNA from 1 species
GUCUACGGCCACGCCACCCUGAACACACCCGAUCUCAUCUGCUUUCAGAAGCUAAGCGGGGUCGGGCCUGGUUAGUACUUGGAUGGGAGACCACCUAGGGAGACCAGGUGCUGUAGCUG